rnacentral:ncRNA from 2 species
ACGCGUCUUCAGGGCGGGGCGAAAUUCCCCACCGGCGGUAUGCACGAAGACGGUGUCGUCACCACGGCCCCGUCUGUCGCGCGAGCCCGCGAGCGCUUGCCGGCACCCCGCCGGCAAGGUCAGCAGACCUGGUGAGAAGCCAGGGCCGACGGUCAGAGUCCGGAUGAGAGAAGACGAGC